GUGGGGAAUUUUGGACAAUGGGCGCAAGCCUGAUCCAGCCAUUCCGCGUGCAGGAUGAAGGCCUUCGGGUUGUAAACUGCUUUUGUACGGAACGAAAAGCCUCUGGUUAAUACCCGGGGGUCAUGACGGUACCGUAAGAAUAAGCACCGGCUAACUACGUGCCAGCAGCCGCGGUAAUACGUAGGGUGCGAGCGUUAAUCGGAAUUACGGGGCGUAAAGCGUGCGCAGGCGGUGAUGUAAGACAGUUGUGAAAUCCCCGGGCGCAACCUGGGAAGUGGAGUCGGGAGUGCAAGGCUAGGGUGUGUCAGAGGGAGGUGGAAUUCCGCGUGUAGCAGUGAAAUGCGUAGAGAUGCGGAGGAACACCAGUGGCGAAGGCGACUCACUGGCCCAAGACUGACGCUGAGGCGCGAAAGCGUGGGGAGCAAACAGGAUUAGAUACCCGAGUAGUCC
rnacentral:rRNA from 1 species